rnacentral:rRNA from 1 species
AUUGAACGCUGGCGGCAGGCUUAACACAUGCAAGUCGAGCGAGCGGCGGACGGGUGAGUAAUGUCUGGGAAACUGCCUGAUGGAGGGGGAUAAAUACUGGAAACGGUAGCUAAUACCGCAUACCAUGAGAUGUGCCCAGAUGGGAUGAGCUAGUAGGUGGGGUAAUGGCUCACCUAGGCGACGAUCCCUAGCUGGUCUGAGAGGAUGACCAGCCACACUGGAACUGAGACACGGGCCAUACUCCUACGGGAGGCAGCAGUGGGGAAUAUUGCACAAUGGGCGGAAGCCUGAUGCAGCCAAGCCGCGUGUGUGAAGAAGGCCUUCGGGUUGUAAAGCACUUUCAGCGAGGAAGCGUUACUCGCAGAAGAAGCACCGGCUAACUCCGUGCCAGCAGCCGCGGUAAUAC